rnacentral:rRNA from 1 species
AUGAUGGCGAUGGACCUGCCAGUCAAGACGAUAGAGGCUGCCAAAAAAAUUUGUAGAGGGUUUCUAUGGAAGGGUCGAUGCGACGUGCAUGGAGGGCACUGUUUGGUGGCCUGGGACAAAGUUUGUUCGCCUAAGGAAUAUGGUGGACUGGGAGUGCCCAACCUGCGCCGACUUAAUACUUCAUUGAGAGCGAGAUGGCCAUGGCUGGCGCAGACGGAUAUGGCCAGAGCCUGAGCAGAAUUUAAUCUCCAAGACUCAUCGGACUCACUAGCCAUUUACAGAGCAGCCACAAAGUGCAUCAUGGGGGGUGGAGCCACGGUACUGUUCUAGACGGAUUGGUGGCUUCAUGAGGGACGCAUACACGAUAUCAUGCCAAACCUAUUCAGUGCCGUCAAGAAGAGCGCAACCAAGGUCAGAACAGUGAGAGAAGCAAUAUGA